rnacentral:rRNA from 1 species
CCUACGGGAGGCAGCAGUGGGGAAUUUUGGUCAAUGGGCGCAAGCCUGAACCAGCUAUUCCGCGUGUGGGAUGACGGUCUUCGGGUUGUAAACCACUUUUGUAGAGAACGCAAAGUCUGUUGAUAAUACCGAUAGAUGAUGACGGUACUCUAAGAAUAAGCACCGGCUAACUACGUGCCAGCAGCCGCGGGAAUACGUAGGGUGCGAGCGUUAAUCGGAAUUACUGGGCGUAAAGGGUGUGCAGGCGGUUUUGCAAGAUGGAUGUGAAAGCCCCGGGCUUAACCUGGGAAAGGCAUACGUGACUGAAAGAGUAGAGUGCGGCAGAGGGGGGUGGAAUUCCAAGUGUAGCAGUGAAAUGCGUAGAUAUUUGGAAGAACACCGAUUGCGAAGGCAGCCUGCUGGGACGCAACUGACGCUGAUACACGAAAGCGUGGGGAGCAAACAGGAUUAGAUACCCGAGUAGUC